CUAUAGUCCGGCUACAAUGAAGUUGAGUUUUGAUAACUUAGCAGAUUGUUUAAAGCCUUGUCUUCUUUAUAUGGGACUGUUUCCGGAGGAUGCAAUAAUUCCAGUGUCUAAAUUGAUAAGUUUAUGGAUAGCAGAAGACUUAGUGGUGAACACUGAAUCUGCUAAAGAUUACUUGAUGGAUCUCAUUAGCAGUAAUGUGGUGAUGGUUUCAAGGAGAAGAUACAAUGGAAAAGUCAAAUACUGUCAGGUUCAUGAUGUAGUGCUUCACUUUUGCUUGGAGAAGAGUAGAGAAGAAAAGUUUAUUUUGCCUGUUAAGGGAAAUUUUAGCCAAUUUUAACCUUGUGAUUGGAAGGUAAGUCGAGUGAACUUCAAUUUGAGUGGAGAUCAUUCCAAGUUUGCAUCUCUGGGAUCCAAAACACGGAAGCGUUUUCAUCAACCGUUGAGGUCACUAAUAGCGAACGGAGAAGCUUUUGAUGGGAUUGACUUAUGGUCUUGGAUUCAUAAAUUCCGACUUCUUAAGGUCUUGGAUUUGAGUUCCCAUAAUGCGUACAAUUUGUCGACAGCUACAAUGAAACCACUGAAUCACCUGAAGUACCUCGCAGUUGAGGCAAAUAUAUUCGAUUUUCAUCCAGAAUCACAUCCCCAUCUUGAAACUUUAAUUGUGAAUACUUUUCAUUCAUUUAUGUUACCAGCGUCUUUUUGGGAAAUGAAAAAAUUAAGGCAUGUUGAGAUUAAGAGAGCUGAAUUUGAUUGGGAAGGGGAUAAGAAAGGUCACUUUGAAGGAUCCUCUAAAUUGGAAAAUUUGACGAUAUUAAAGAAUAUUGUUAGCUUUCCAAUUGCUGAAGCAGAUAGGGUGGAUGUGUUAUUAAGGAGGUGUCCUAAUCUUCAACAACUUCACUUCAGCCUUGGGAGCGAUUUUGAUAUUUCCUUCAACAACUUCACAUUGAAGAAUCUUACCCAGCUUCAAGACCUUUGCCUUUCCUUUAAGCAGUGGCACACUUUAACUGGGUUACAAUUGCCUUCAAAUUUAAACAAGUUGGUACUUGAAGAAAUUCAUAUAGAAAGUGCUAUUCCCUUCAUUGCAGGACUACCAAGCCUGGAGUAUCUCCAAUUACAAGAUGUGUGUUUUCCUGAAUCAAAAGAGUGGUGCCUUGGAGAUAUCACGUUCCAUAAACUUAAGUUGUUGAAACUGGUGAACUUAGAGAUCUCAUGGUGGGAUGCCUCGGAGGAAUCAUUUCCCCUGCUUGAAACACUUGUUAUAAAAAAGUGUAUUGACCUAAAGGAGAUCCCCCUUAGCUUUGCAGAUAUUCCAACACUGAAACAGAUUAAGUUGAUUGACUGCUACAAUGAAUCUCUGAUGGAUUCAGCUGAGAGGAUUAAGAAAGGUGUUGAAGAGACUGAAGGAAACGACCGUAUUGACCUCAUUAUCAAAAAUUCUUAGGGUCAUCUGGCAGCUGUGAGAGUCAAUCAUGUGCCUGUAAUCACAACAAUGCCAUGCUCAUGCUCAAGUAUAUUGUGCGCCUAGAGCUGAAAUCCCUGUCCUUUUUCUGUAUGUUUUAGAUGGUCUUUCACUGUGAUUUCUUGUCGCCUUUGUUAUGCAGCUUUAUUAUUGUACAACCUGUCAAAACAUUGCUUCUUGUUUGUUUUUUGUAAUAUAAUAGUUGUUUCCCUUCAUCUUACACCUGCAAAAUUCAAUAAAGUAUACAAUUG